rnacentral:rRNA from 1 species
UACAGGGGGUGCAAACGUUGCUCGGAAUCAUUGGGCGUAAAGCGCACGUAGGCGGUCUGUUAUGUCGGAUGUGAAAGCCCUUGGCUCAACUGAGGAAGUGCAUCCGAAACUGGCAGGCUAGAGUACUAAAGAGGAUCGCGGAAUUCCCGGUGUAGAGGUGAAAUUCGUAGAUAUCGGGAGGAACACCGGUGGCGAAGGCGGCGACCUGGGUCGAGACUGACGCUGAGGCGCGAAAGCGUGGGGAGCAAACAGG